rnacentral:rRNA from 1 species
AGAGUUUGAUCCUGGCUCAGGAUGAACGCUAGCUACAGGCUUAACACAUGCAAGUCGAGGGGCAUCAGGAAGAAAGCUUGCUUUCUUUGCUGGCGACCGGCGCACGGGUGAGUAACACGUAUCCAACCUGCCCUUUACUCGGGGAUAGCCUUUCGAAAGAAAGAUUAAUACCCGAUGGCAUAAUGAUUCCGCAUGGUUUCAUUAUUAAAGGAUUCCGGUAAAGGAUGGGGAUGCGUUCCAUUAGGUUGUUGGUGAGGUAACGGCUCACCAAGCCUUCGAUGGAUAGGGGUUCUGAGAGGAAGGUCCCCCACAUUGGAACUGAGACACGGUCCAAACUCCUACGGGAGGCAGCAGUGAGGAAUAUUGGUCAAUGGGCGCUAGCCUGAACCAGCCAAGUAGCGUGAAGGAUGAAGGCUCUAUGGGUCGUAAACUUCUUUUAUAUAAGAAUAAAGUGCAGUAUGUAUACUGUUUUGUAUGUAUUAUAUGAAUAAGGAUCGGCUAACUCCGUGCCAGCAGCCGCGGUAAUACGGAGGAUCCGAGCGUUAUCCGGAUUUAUUGGGUUUAAAGGGAGCGUAGGUGGACUGGUAAGUCAGUUGUGAAAGUUUGCGGCUCAACCGUAAAAUUGCAGUUGAUACUGUCAGUCUUGAGUACAGUAGAGGUGGGCGGAAUUCGUGGUGUAGCGGUGAAAUGCUUAGAUAUCACGAAGAACUCCGAUUGCGAAGGCAGCUCACUGGACUGCAACUGACACUGAUGCUCGAAAGUGUGGGGUAUCAAACAGGAUUAGAUACCCCUGGUAGUCCACACAGUAAACGAUGAAUACUCGCUGUUUGCGAUAUACAGUAAGCGGCCAAGCGAAAGCAUUAAGUAUUCCACCUGGGGAGUACGCCGGCAACGGUGAAACUCAAAGGAAUUGACGGGGGCCCGCACAAGCGGAGGAACAUGUGGUUUAAUUCGAUGAUACGCGAGGAACCUUACCCGGGCUUAAAUUGCAGUGGAAUGAUGUGGAAACAUGUCAGUGAGCAAUCACCGCUGUGAAGGUGCUGCAUGGUUGUCGUCAGCUCGUGCCGUGAGGUGUCGGCUUAAGUGCCAUAACGAGCGCAACCCUUAUCUUCAGUUACUAACAGGUCAUGCUGAGGACUCUGGAGAGACUGCCGUCGUAAGAUGUGAGGAAGGUGGGGAUGACGUCAAAUCAGCACGGCCCUUACGUCCGGGGCUACACACGUGUUACAAUGGGGGGUACAGAAGGCAGCUAGCGGGUGACCGUAUGCUAAUCCCAAAAGCCUCUCUCAGUUCGGAUCGAAGUCUGCAACCCGACUUCGUGAAGCUGGAUUCGCUAGUAAUCGCGCAUCAGCCACGGCGCGGUGAAUACGUUCCCGGGCCUUGUACACACCGCCCGUCAAGCCAUGGGAGCCGGGGGUACCUGAAGUACGUAACCGCAAGGAUCGUCCUAGGGUAAAACUGGUGACUGGGGCUAAGUCGUAACAAGGU